UACAGAGGUCUCAAGCGUUGUUCGGAUUCAUUGGGCGUAAAGGGUGCGUAGGCGGCGCGGUAAGUCGGGUGUGAAAUCUCGGGGCUUAACUCCGAAACUGCAUUCGAUACUGCCGUGCUUGAGGACUGGAGAGGAGACUGGAAUUCCGGGUGGAGUGGUGAAAUGCGUAGAGAUCCGGAGGAACACCGAAGGCGAAGGCAGUGUCCUGGCGAGUGACUGACGCUGAGGUGCGAAAGCCAGGGGAGCGAACGGG
rnacentral:rRNA from 1 species